rnacentral:lncRNA from 1 species
UUUGUUGGAAUGUCUCAUAAAGGUUUAGUUCCUGAUGUUGUUACUUAUUCUACUCUUAUAGAGGGUAUGUUUCAAGCAGGGAGGCCCCAAACUGCACAGGAGCUCUUUAAGAAUAUGUGCUCUCAUGGUCAACAGCCAAAUAUAGUAACCUUCUCAAUUAUGAUUAAUGGCUUGUGUAGUCAGGGGAAUCUCGAUGAAGCACUCACCCUAUUGAAAAAAAUGGAGGAAAGUCAGUUAAAGCCUAAUCUUGUGACCUAUUGCAUUCUGAUCAAUGGUAUGUGCAAAGCUGGCAAGAUUAAUGAUGCCAAGGAACUGUUUUCUAGUCUUUUUGAAAAUGGUUUACAACCUAAUGUUCAUAUAUAUAGUGCAAUUAUGAAAGGACUCUGCCAACAAGGAUUAAUGGAUGAAGCGUAUAAGGUAUUUAAAGACAUGGAAGAGGUAGGAUGUUUACCAAAUAAUUGUUGUUAUAAUAUCAUCAUUCAAGGGUUUCUCAAGCAUGAGGAUUUACCAAAAGCAUCAGAACUAAUCAACGAAAUGGUUGAUAAGGGGUUCUCUGCUGAUGCUGCUACCACAGAAUUGGUAGUACAUUUAUCGCGGAAUAAUGAUCUCAUUCUAAGCAAACUACGAAAUCGUUCUGAGGCUUCUAAAGGGGUGCAAUGAGCGAUCAGCAAACUAAAGUUGUUAUAUCUUGACCAUUCAAGGGUGUCUUGGAGAGAAAUUUGGUAAUUACCUUCUUCAAAUGUAGUAGAUAUGUAAUUUAACAAACUUCUUAAAAUUUCAUUUUUAAUUUCAAUCAGCUAUGAUUGUCUUCCACAAAAUGAAAAUUUCUAACACUGUAAAUUACUGCAUUGGAAACCAUGAUAUGUGUGUGCUUUUCGCUUGAACUCAGACUUGGACUGGAUCUCUUUGGAUAUAAGAUUGUUGAUGAAUGGAGGUCAUAGAUUUCUAAUGAUCAAGUUGCUGGUAAACCCACCAUAUUCCUUACAAUUUUUUUUGGGCUGCUACUAUAGCCUUAACUCGAGAGCUCAGUCCUAAAAAUGAGUUGAGAACUAAAACUAAUUGAUUCCAUGCUACAAUGCUUAAGAAUCUUUAUCUAUUUUACUUUUGUGCUCAAUGAUCUUUUAAGAUACUAUCAUUUUUCAGUAAACAUGCUGCAUUAGGACAAUAACUUGGAGAUUUUAUCAUGUAUUUUGAUUUUUACUAGUAAGAAUGCAGGUGUUAAAUCAGUGAACUAGCAGGUGUUAACACCUGCUUUCUGUAUCAUUUUACCAAAGCUACUCAUGCCUGUUUCCGUCCAUUAGAAUUUAACACCUACUAGUUUAUCAUAUACAUGCAUUACUUGUAAUUAGUUUAUGCUUCCAAAAUGAUGUCUAUUUAUUGCUAGUUUAUUACUUGUAGUAAGUUUAUGCUCAAAAUAAUUUCUAUUUGUUGCUCCUUGAGUUAAUACUUAUAACUUGAACUAGAGUUAAUACUUACUCCUUGAGUGCAAGUUUUAACACCUACUCGUUGAGUUUAAGUAGUAAUUUGAGUUUUUGCAACAGGUACAUCAGAGAUUGAGCAUGGUGCAGUAUCUCUUCCACCAGUCCACCAGGUCUUUUCCCGCAUGCCUGAGAUGAAGAUGGAUUAGAUGAGCAAAUCGAGGAUUUUUGUUGAUUACUUUUUGUAUACAUUUUGGGGUACUAUUUAUUUUGGCAUUUACUACAAAAAUAUGCUUUUAAUUAUACAUUUUUUGUGGUUUUACUAGAUUAUUUGUGUUCAAUUUUAAGUUCAAAAGACUUUUCUUUUUAUUAUAAUUGAAUAUAUUAGAUUUGUGGUUGAUUUGUGUUAUAUUAUGCAUUUAAUAGGUUGGUUUUGUGAUGUUUGUAAUUAUUUUGGAUCGGUUAAAUAAAAAUUGCAAACGAAAUUGCAAUUGAAAAUCUGGUUCAAAUUUCGUAAAGGGUGUAAAGAAGCAACAUUGAGUCACUUUGCCUUGUAGAUGAUUUGUUUUUGUUUUGUCAUGGGGCUAGGAAUUUGGUCUGUGGGCUUGGAGAGGCCUUGAAGUUGAGGAGGUUUUAGGAUUGCAAGUAAAUGAGUCUAAGAGCUGUGUUUAUCUUGCAAGAGUGCUAGAGGAGAUGAAGCAGCAAAUUCUACAAUUCCUCAAUUUCAGGGAGGGAUUUCUUCCUGUUAUCUAUUUGGGAUUACCUCUGGUAUCUACUAGUAUUAAAAAAGAGCAUUGUCAGAAGCUUAUUAGUAUAAUAACUAGUAGAAUUGACUCAUGGUCUGCUAAAUAAUUAUCCUAUGCUGGUAGGGUACAUGGUGAGGAAUAAGUUGAAAAGCCUCAGUUUUUGGGGAUCUCUAAACCUUGUAAUGCUAGUUGAUCUUGAAAGAAUCUGGUGAAAAUUACAGAUUAUUUUAGAAAGCAUUAUGCAUAUAAGUUGGGAAGAGGGGUUUUUCAUUUUGGUAUGACCCUUGCAUGGGUGGGAAAAGUCUUGUUGAGAGGCCUCUGAGUUGAAUAUGGGAUAUUCUGACAUCAUAGACAUGCUAAGGUGAGGGACGGUAUGUGGAGGGAUGGUAUGUGGAGGCUUCCUAAUCCAUUGGAUUCCACUAUGGAAGGAGCCUGGGAAGAGGUUCGAAAAUUUUAUGUAAGCAAUGAAUGGGCAGAUUCUAUUAAAUAGAAACUCAUAGACUUACACUGUUAAUAGUGCUUGGAAUUUAAGGAUGAAUAGACGAAGCAUAUAAGAUAUGUAGGAGGAUGUUUACCGAAUAAUUGUUGUUAUAAUAUCAUCAUUCAAGGAUUUCUCAAGCAUGAAGAUUUACCAAAAGUAUCAGAAUUAAUCAAUGAAAUGGUUGACAAGGGAUUGUCUGCUGAUGCUACUACCACCGAAUUGGUAGUUCGUUUAUUGUGCAACGAUGAUCUCAUUUUGAGGCUUUUAAAGGUAAGCAGCGAGGGAUUAGCAAACUAAAGUUGUUAUAUCUUGACCAUUCAAGUGUGUCUUGGAGCCCAACUUGGUAAUUACCUGUUUCAAAUAUAAUAGAUAUGUAAUUUAACUAACUUCUUUAAAUAUCAAUUUUUAAUUUCAAUCAGCUGUGAUUCUCUUCCACAAAUCAAAAAUAUCUAACACUGCAAAUGACCUGUAGUGGAAACCAUGAUAUGUGUGUGCCUUUCGCUUGAAUUCAGACAUAGACUUGAUCUCUUUGAUAUAAGAUUGUUGAUGAAUGGAGGUCAUGGAUUUCUAACGAUCAAGUUGCUGGUAAACCCACCAUCUCCUUUAUAAUUUUUUUUUGCUGCUACUACAGCCUUACCACUAGAGCUCAGUCCUAAAAAUGAGUUGAGAACUAAAAUUAAUUGGUUCCAUACUACAACGCUUAAGAAUUUUUAUCUAUUUUUAUUUUUGUGCUCAGUGACCUUUUAAAAUGCUAUCAUUUCUCUUAUAGGUACUUGCAAGAAUAUGAUUACAAUUUCAUCUUUCUAACAAUAAAGGUAUAAGCAAUUCUUUUUUGCUUAAUUAUUAUAUUUUUAAUAAUAAUGAAAAUAAUGAUUAUAAAUCACUGUGCUUUAAUUGAGAAUUAAUUUAAUAAUUAGACUACAUUAUAAAUGCAAGAUGCAUGAUAUACCAUUCUAGAGUAUAAGGUAAGAGAAUCACUAGACUUGUACAGUUGUUGGUUGUAUGAAAUGUCACUAAAAUUAUAGAUAAUAGAAAAUAUUGUGGGAAUUGAGGGUCUUUGUCACCUUUUUUUGUCUAGUCAUGAAGUUGCUUAAUUUCUUUUAUUUUCCUUCAAAUCAAAUCAGUAAAAUCAUUGCAUUAACAUCUAAUAAUAUGAAGUUCACAAUCUUUUCCAAUGAAAUCAAUUUUUUAACAUGAAAAUUUGAAUUUUAGAAAUGCUUGUGGAAGGUAUAUAUAUAUUCUUUCCUUUUAGAUUCUUUAUUUUGUGCCAAGGUGAUUGGAUUACUGUUUGAAAUGUUAGUUAAGUUACACAAAAAAAAAGUUGUUUCGGUUGUUUUAUAAAGUCAAACCCUUUGAUAUUCUUAUUAAUUAAAAUAUUUAGAUUUGAUUAGAACAACUAAAUUAUAUAUGUAUAAUUAAAAUAAAUAAAUAAUACAAAAAUUUAUUUUAAUCGAAUAACAUAAAAAUAAAAAAUUAAAUAGUCAAUUUUGAUAAAAUAUAAGAACCAAAAAUAAUUCACUCUUUUAUAUUUUAAAGUAAUUUUUUGGACUCUUCAUGGCAAAUUCUCAGUAAUUUUACCAAUUAUAUCUAACAUUUAUAUACUUCUUUUUUUCAAGUUUUAUUUUUUCUAUUUAUGCAUUGAUUUUUAUUUCUUAUGAGAAUUGCUGGCAAAAUAAUAUUGCAGUGAUAUAUAUAUAUAUUCGUUUGACACCAAAUCCUUGAAAUAAAGUUAAUAUAAAAAUUAAGACUUUAUUUUGUUUUAUAAAAAAUAUUUUAUAAAAAAUAUUACACCAUAACAAAUAUAGUUUUAAUGAUAAAAAAUAAGGAGUAAUUUAGGGUUCAUUCAAUAUCCCUUCAUGAUUUUUGUUUUUUGUUUUCUCAAAAAUUGAUUAUAUAAAAAUAAGUAUAAAAUUUUAUAUAAUGGUAAGAAAUAAUAUAAUUUUUUAAAAUAUAAUAUUUGAUAGUAAAAUAAUAAUAUAAAUAAUUUUAUAAAUGGUUAUACAUAAAAAUAUUAAUAUACAUAUUUAAUAAAUUAUGUUUAUACAGUAAAGGACAUUAUAACAAAAAAUUAUUAUUUGAUUGUCAUAUAAAAAAUUUAUUAAUUAAUUUAUUUUUUAAAAAUACAUUAAAAGUUUUCUGAGAUUUUAAAAAGUUUAGCGGUUAGUCCAACAUUACUUUUAUUUGUUAAGUAUUAUAAAAAUAAAAAUUAUUAUUUAGUUAUUGCAAUAUAAAAAAAUUUAUAAAUUAAUUCAUUAAUUUUAAAAAAUAUAUUAAAAUAUUUUUAAUUUUAAAAAAUUCAAUAAUUAAUCUCUCCAUUAAUUUUAACUGUUUAGUUUUAUAAAAAAGUUUCAAAUGUUCUAAUAUGAAAAAACUAAUUAGUAAAUAUUUUUAUAAAAUUAAGAGAUUAACUAAUGAAUUUUCUCCUAUUAUAUAAAUUAAUUAGUAAAAUAUUUAAUAAAUAAAACUAAUGGGAGGACUAAUUAAUAUAUUUUUAAUACUUUAAGGAUGUUUUGAUGUAUUUUUUAAAAUAAAAAGAGUAAUUAAUGUGUUCUUUUAUAUUACAAAAAUUAAAUAGUAAAUUUUACUUAAAAAAAAUUUAAAAUAUUUUCAAUAUGGAUGGACUAAUUAAUAAAUAUUUUUAUAAAAUUGAAAAAUUAAUUAAUAAAUUUUUAAUAUUAUAGGGAUUAAAAUGUAAAAUAUUUAAUAAUUAAAAUUAAUAUUAUAAUAAUUUAAUAUCCUAUGUACUGUUUAUGCAGUUUAACCACUUAUCCAUCAUCCUUCUCUAUCGACUUCCCAUAAACCAUAACCCAUCCUCGCUCUACACUCUUAUAAGGUACAGUUAUAAUAAUUUAAUAUUAUAAUAAUAUAAAAGAAUAAAUUUAAUUUCUUAUUAAAUAAUAUUUUUAUAUGAAAAAUUUAUAAAAAAAAUACAAAAUGUGGUGCAUAUAAACAACUAGUAAUGCAUUUCCUUUCCCAAUUUCCUUUUUAUCCUUACCACUUUACCAGCUGGCAGAGAGCCUUCCUUUUCCGAUUCUCUAUUUCCUUUCCUCAUUCCCAAUCUCCGAUCCAUCCCUAAAAACAACCGACGAGAGAUCGAUGAUGAUGAAGAUGCCUUGGAGGAGGAAGAGCAGGAGCUUCCAUCUUCAGCUACAAGGGGCAAUUGGUACCAUUCAAUCUCCAUUCCUAUUCUUAUUUACCAAUUAUUGCCAUUCUUCUACUUCCACACUUGAAGAUGCACUCUUCUUGACAAAUAACUUCAAAUCUGCUUCUUUUACCCACCUUGAUGAUGCCAUUGCUUCCUUCAAUCAUGUAAUUCAUAAGCAUCCUCUGCCUUCUAGGGUUCCAUUUAAUAGAUUCUUAUCUGCCCUUGUGAAAAUGAAACAAUAUCACACUGUCCUUUCCAUGUCCAAAACAAUUGAAUUGGUAGGAAUCUCUUACGAUGUUUGUUCUCUUAACAUCUUAAUUAAUUGCUUCUGCCGUUUACAUCUUGUGGAUUUUGGUUUCUCUGUUUUCGGGAAGAUGUUCAAAUUCUGAUUGGAGCCUACCACUGUGACAUUUACUACCUUAAUUAAUGGGCUUUGUAUGGAGAGUAAAAUCGAUAAAGCAGUGGAAUUUUUCGAUGAUAUGGUUGCACGUGGUUAUCAACCUAAUGUUUAUACUUACAAUGUGAUGGUAAACGGAUUGUGUAAAUUUGGGAAAACAAAUCUGGCUAUUGAGCUACUAAAGGAAAUGGCUGAUAGAGGUUGUGAGGCAGAUGUUGUGACAUACAAUGCAAUCAUUGACACCCUUUGCAAAGAUGAGCUAGUUGGUGAGGCUUUAGAGCUCUUCUCUCAAAUGAGGAAUAAGGGCAUUUCACCUCAUGUCAUCACUUACAAUAGUUUAAUUCAUGGUGUUUGCAAAUUAGGCCAAAAGAACCAAGCUUUGGCCUUGAUGAAUGAAAUGGUGGAGCAGAACAUAUUACCAGAUGUUUAUACCUUCAAUGUAUUGAUUGAUGCUCUUUGUAAGGAUGGAAUGGUUUCAGAGGCUCAAAAUACAUUCAAUGUAAUGAUUCAAAGAGGUGUAGAGCCUGAUGUGAUCACAUACACUUCCUUAAUUGAUGGUCUUUGCAUUUCAGACCAAUUCAAGGAAGCUUUGGCCUUGUUGAAAGAAAUGAUGGGGAGGAACAUAUCCCCUGAUGUUUUUACCUUCAAUAUAUUGAUAGACACUCUUUGUAAGAAAGGACUGGUUUCAAGUGCAGAGAAUAUAAUCAAAAUAAUGAUUCAAAGAGGUGUGGAACCUACCGUUGUCACUUAUAGUUCAUUGAUGGAUGGAUAUUGUCUGUGCAAGCAAAUUGAUAAGGCUAGAAAGGUAUUUGAUCUGAUGGUGACCAAUGAAAUAGCUAACAUUUUUAGCUACAACAUUUUGAUCAAUGGAUAUUGUAAGUGCAAAAUGAUAGAUGAUGCAAAGGAACUUUUUGAUGAAAUGUCUCAUAAAGGUUUACUUUCUGAUGGUGUUACUUAUUCUACUCUUAUAGAGGGUAUGUUUCAAGCAGGGAGGCCCCAAACUGCACAGGAGCUCUUUAAGAAUAUGUGCUCUCAUGGUCAACAGCCAAAUAUAGUAACCUUCUCAAUUAUGAUUAAUGGCUUGUGUAGACAGGGGAAUCUCGAUGAAGCACUCACCCUAUUGAAAGAAAUGGAGGAAAGUCAAUUGAAGCCUGAUCUUGUGACCUAUUGCAUUCUGAUCAAUGGUAUGUGCAAAGCUGGCAAGAUUAAUGAUGCCAAGGAACUGUUUUCUAGUCUUUUUGAAAAUGGUUUACAACCUAAUGUUCAUAUAUAUUGUGCAAUUAUGAAAGGACUCUGCCGAGAAGGAUUAAUAGACGAAGCAUAUAAUAUUUUUAGAGACAUGGAAAAGGGAGGAUGUUUACCGAAUAAUUGGUGUUAUAAUAUCAUCAUUCAAGGGUUUCUCAAGCAUAAGGAUUUACCAAAAGCAUCACAACUAAUCAACGAAAUGGUUGAUAAGGGGUUCUCUGCUGAU